rnacentral:rRNA from 1 species
AUUGAACGCUGGCGGCAGGCCUAACACAUGCAAGUCGAGCGGAUGAAGGGAGCUUGCUCCUGGAUUCAGCGGCGGACGGGUGAGUAAUGCCUAGGAAUCUGCCUGGCAGUGGGGGAUAACGUCCGGAAACGGGCGCUAAUACCGCAUACGUCCUGAGGGAGAAAGUGGGGGAUCUUCGGACCUCACGCUAUCAGAUGAGCCUAGGUCGGAUUAGCUAGUUGGUGGGGUAAAGGCCUACCAAGGCGACGAUCCGUAACUGGUCUGAGAGGAUGAUCAGUCACACUGGAACUGAGACACGGUCCGGACUCCUACGGGAGGCAGCAGUGGGGAAUAUUGGACAAUGGGCGGAAGCCUGAUCCAGCCAUGCCGCGUGUGUGAAGAAGGUCUUCGGAUUGUAAAGCACUUUAAGUUGGGAGGAAGGGCAGUAAGUUAAUACCUUGCUGUUUUGACGUUACCAACAGAAUAAGCACCGGCUAACUUCGUG